rnacentral:rRNA from 1 species
UACGUAGGGGGCAAGCGUUGUCCGGAUUUAUUGGGCGUAAAGAGCGUGUAGGCGGUCAGAUAGGUCCGUUGUGAAAACUCGAGGCUCAACCUCGAGACGCCGAUGGAAACCAUCUGACUAGAGUCCGGAAGGGGAGAGUGGAAUUCCUGGUGUAGCGGUGAAAUGCGCAGAUAUCAGGAAGAACACCCGUGGCUAAGGCGGCUCUCUAGUACGGUACUGACGCUGAGACGCGAAAGCGUGGGGAGCGAACAGG